rnacentral:rRNA from 1 species
CCUACGGGCGGCAGCAGUGGGGAAUAUUGCGCAAUGGGCGAAAGCCUGACGCAGCGACGCCGCGUGAGGGAUGAAGGUCUUCGGAUCGUAAACCUCUGUCAGCAGGGAAGAACGGUCACUGUGCUAAUCAGCAGUGAAUUGACGGUACCUGCAAAGGAAGCACCGGCUAACUCCGUGCCAGCAGCCGCGGUAAUACGGAGGGUGCGAGCGUUAAUCGGAAUUACUGGGCGUAAAGCGCUCGUAGGCGGUAUGUCAAGUCAAGGGUGAAAUCCCCGCGCUCAACGUGGGAACUGCCUUUGAAACUGGCAGACUGGAGUGUGUGAGAGGAUAGUGGAAUUCCAGGUGUAGGGGUGAAAUCCGUAGAUAUCUGGAGGAACAUCAGUGGCGAAGGCGACUAUCUGGCACAUAACUGACGCUGAGGAGCGAAAGCGUGGGUAGCAAACAGGAUUAGAUACCCUGGUAGUC